rnacentral:rRNA from 1 species
GACGAACGCUGGCGGCGUGCUUAACACAUGCAAGUCGAACGGAAAGGCCCUGCUUGCAGGGCACUCGAGUGGCGAACGGGUGAGUAACACGUGGGUGAUCUGCCCUGCACUUCGGGAUAAGCUUGGGAAACUGGGUCUAAUACCGGAUAGGAACCAUCUUUAGUGUGGUGGUUGGAAAGUUUUUUCGGUGUAGGAUGAGCUCGCGGCCUAUCAGCUUGUUGGUGGGGUAAUGGCCUACCAAGGCGGCGACGGGUAGCCGGCCUGAGAGGGUGUACGGCCACAUUGGGACUGAGAUACGGCCCAGACUCCUACGGGAGGCAGCAGUGGGGAAUAUUGCACAAUGGGCGCAAGCCUGAUGCAGCGACGCCGCGUGGGGGAUGAAGGCCUUCGGGUUGUAAACUCCUUUCGCUAGGGACGAAGCUUUGUUGUGACGGUACCUAGAGAAGAAGCACCGGCUAACUACGUG